UGGGGCGUCGACAAGUGGUUAAGUCAACAGACUCUGACUCUGUCAUCCGAGGGUUCAAAUCCUUCCGCCCCAGCCA
rnacentral:tRNA from 1 species